GCCCAUAUGUGAACUGAGCGACAUCACGCGAGAGCUCUAGAGAUGCAGCGCGAGUUUUCUCCAUGCGGUAUGAACGUCUGUUGGGAGACUGAGAAAGGCCAAUAAAGUCCGUUAACUCGUUAAAUAUUGUGCAAUACAUGCAUGCAGUGACUUAAAAAGUCUUUUUCAUGGUGAUUAAUGUUCGGAUGGCUGUGGAUUUUGUUGUUUUGAUCGUGAUUUCCAACAUCGUGAAGGAAAGCUAAGCUAAAGCAGGGGAGAAGAGAGUUUUAAGGGUCCAGAGUGUGACGGAAAGAAAACAUAAGGAAAAAGUCAUUUGCAGCUGUUAAUGCUGUGUGUGUAUAUCAUUGAGAGCUGACGAGCUUCAGCCGCCUGCCUUUUUGACCAUCUGCCUAUAUCGACCAUGACUCUGGAUUGCCCGUAUACAUCUGUUUGCUCCUGUGUUGUCUGUUGCUUGCCUGACCAUUCUCUGUUCAAUAAACCUGCCUUU